AAAAAUAGAGAACUAAACAAUGAAUAACGCUGCAACCACAAAUAGUUCCUUAGAAAUCAGUCUCUUCAAAUAUUUAACUUUUUGUUUUGGUAAGUUUAUGACGUCGGAGGCCACGAAAAAAUAUACACACAUAUGUAAAUCGAAUCAAGAUUCGCCACGCUACUUUCACGCUUAAUGCAUCGAAUCGAUUUGGGGCCCCAACUACUUACUGCAAUCAUAGUUUUAUCAUCAUUUACUUACCGCUUUCGUUUCGUUAGAUUUCCCUAAUUAACUCGCGAAAGAAACCCAAAAACUAAACCAAUCUAACCAACCGAAAUGCAAAUUAAAAUCACCAGAAUUGAAUCAAAACGAAGGGCGAAUGCUCGCAAGACACAUCUGAAAUCCAUAUUCGAAAUGUGAAUAGCUUCUAAUUUAGACUAAUAUUUAUUGCUUUACUUUUGAUUCUUUGCUCUCGCUAAUCUCUCUGCAUGCUACUCGCUUUGCCUCACAGCUACUCGCUUCUCGCUGAUUGCUCGCUUAAGUGUCCUCAAUCCUUGGCGACGACUUCAUCUGCUUGCUACCCCCUACAUCACCAUCACAAACAUACCCCCACACACGCUCACAAAUACACCCAUAGACACUCAUUCACACGUACGAGUUUUGAUUGCAUGUGCACAAUGUUUGGUUUGUAGUGUAACUCGUUCGUACCUCGUAUGUAUAUAUGUACAAAAUCGGUUGUUAUAUAGACUAAUUUCCCUAUUUACGCCUACGAAGUAGUAACCAGAGUAUAGUGUACAGAUCAGUUUAAAAUACUCAAAAUGGCGCGUUAUUAGACCGUCGUCGAGUUUAGUUGGUUACUGGCUCAAGCAUGCAUACGCCGCCACCAGAAACUCGACCUAAGCUCGGUCCUAAAAAGGACCGCACAGCAUCACCCGCUCCGCAGCUACCUCGCCCACCAGUUCUACCUCAUCGCCGCCCUCGCCGCCCACAGCCCUGAUCUCG
rnacentral:misc_RNA from 1 species